GACGUCGAUAUUCGACGUAAUAAACACGAUCAACUUUGGUGUUUAUGACGUCGAUAUUCGACGUCAUAAACACGAUCAACUUAGAUGUUUAUGACUUGGAUAUUCGACGUCAUAAACACGAUCAACAUAGAUGUUUUUGACGUCGAUAUUCGAUGUCAUAAACACGAUCAACUUAGGUGUUUAUGACGUCGAUAUUCGACGUCAUAAACACGAUCAACUUAGAUGUUUAUGACGUCGAUAUUCGAUGUC